rnacentral:rRNA from 1 species
CGGACUGGUGAGUAACGCGUGAGGAACCUGCCUUUCAGAGGGGGACAACAGUUGGAAACGACUGCUAAUACCGCAUGAUACAUUUGGGCGGCAUCGCUUGAAUGUCAAAGAUUUUAUCGCUGAAAGAUGGCCUCGCGUCUGAUUAGCUAGUUGGCGGGGUAACGGCCCACCAAGGCGACGAUCAGUAGCCGGACUGAGAGGUUGACCGGCCACAUUGGGACUGAGAUACGGCCCAGACUCCUACGGGAGGCAGCAGUGGGGAAUAUUGGGCAAUGGACGCAAGUCUGACCCAGCAACGCCGCGUGAAGGAAGAAGGCUUUCGGGUUGUAAACUUCUUUUAAGAGGGAACAGAAGAAGAGGGUACCUCUUGAAUAAGCCACGGCUAACUACGUGCCAGCAGCCGCGGUAAUACGUAGGUGGCAAGCGUUGUCCGGAUUUACUGGGUGUAAAGGGCGUGUAGCCGGGGAGACAAGUCAGAUGUGAAAUCUGGAGGCUCAACCUCCAAACUGCAUUUGAAACUGUUUCUCUUGAGUAUCGGAGAGGUAAUCGGAAUUCCUAGUGUAGCGGUGAAAUGCGUA